UGGCUCCUCAGGUCAAGGGUAAAGGUGUCAAGGGUCAUAGAGGUUCUCGAACCACCGUCGCAGCCGCUAUUACCAACACCUCCACCUCUUCUAGGACUUCAGUUGUGCCAGAUUUUCAGUCAGGACCACUUACCCAGCAACCGUAUUUGAUGGUGUCUAAUCCAGGCUACACUGGUCUUCCUCCACCAACUUAGCCUACUCCAGGAUGUAUGGGCCCUCCACCACCCCCUCUUCCAAUUUCGAUUCCUCCUCUGUCUCGCAAUUCCAGCCUAUUAGUUGAUUCAGAAACACCUGGAAGCUCUAGUACAUCUCCUCCAUCAGAAACUGCAUCGGUUCCUAAUGUUGUCACAAAACAAAGAUUGGUUCCAGAUAGAAAAACAAGUUGGUUACCUUUCCCUCCUGGUUCGCAAAAGAUUACAGAGAUCAUCAAGAAACGGUAUGAUAAACCAUAUAAAAAGUUUGGGGAUGUCCCUCUUCUGACAAAGAAGCUUUAGUUUAAGGAGUGGAAGAGCCAUUUUCUUACUGAUGAUGAUGAUGAGGAGUUUUUUUGGAGGGCUUUCAAAUAUAGGACAAGUAAGCGAUUUAGCCAAAUGAUGUCAGAUAUCCGUGAGGGUGUGGAUACAACCCAUGAAUGGCUAAUUCCUGCUUACAAAAAGGUGUUGGAAAAGUACUGGGAAGCGGAUGAGAAAUGGAAAAAUAUAAGGAAAAAAGCGAGGGAGAAUUGAGCGUCACUCUUAGGUGGUUCUGUCCAUUGCGGUGGUUCUAUUCCACUGAGCUCAACUAUAGAGAGGAUGGUAACAUAAUUUAAGUGGCUUUAGAUCUUAUUUAAUAGACAUUUAUUUAUAUAAAUUUUUUUUAUUCUGUGUUUAUGUGAAACAGAAGAAGCAUUUGGACCGUACACCAACUCAUGAGGAAGUCUUCAAGGAAACCCACACACUUAAAAGUGACAAGUCUAAAUGGGUGGACAAACGCUCUCAAGACACUCAUGAGAAGUUUAUAAAAAAGUUAGCAGAAGUUUAGGCCCAACAUGUCGAGGCUCAAGCACAAGGAAUGGAGCUACCACCAAUUGAUAAAGACUUGAUUUGGGAGGAAGUGUGUGGUGGGCAAAAGAAGAAUCGAGUUUAUGGAAAAGGAGCAUCCUUUUCUAGAUUUAUUAAGUCUAGAACCACUUCUGCCAACUCUGUAUCUGGAAGAGCAUCUACAAUCAAAAUUAUGUUCCUGAUUUGCGAGAACAGAUUCAUAAUCUCAAUGAAGAGCUUUUUCAACGUGUUACUCAACAGAUAGAUGAGUGUAUUAGUAAGUUGUUAGAUGCACGCUUGGCUCCUUUGGAAAAGACUCAAAAGAAGUUAGAAAAGUUAGAACGGGCAAUUGGAAAGGCCAAGAAGGAAAAGCUGAAACAGAAGAGAUGGAAUGACGCUUAUGUUAGCUAUUACAAGAAGGUUAGAGCGUCAAGUAGUUCCACUACUGCUCCACCGCCACUGCCACCGCCGCCACCUUCAAUCUCUUCGGAUGAAGACUAUGAUGACGAUGGGGAUGAAGAUGAUACUGAGGACUAUAGUUGAUAAAUUUAGUAUGGUUAAACAAUAUACUGAGGAUUAUAGUUGAUAAUACACUUUGUUUAUGUCUUGAAUUAUAUUG